AAAUGAAAUCGUCGGGGCGGUGUACACGACGCAUGAAUGAGCCGAUGAGGUGUACGUUUUCGUUUUUUCAUGCGGGUGGGUCGUGGUUGUAUGCGCGCGCGCUCACUAGCAAAGAGCUUCACUUGGCCAAAAACAGCUCUUCUAAAAAUGAGGUUUUGUGAAAUGAAUGGAAGUACGUAGUUUGAGCUAGGUUUGCAAGUUGUAUAAUUUUAGAGGUCAUGCUCUUAGUUAUCUGAAUUGCAUCGAAAUUUUCAAAACAU
ensembl:ncRNA C27H6.10 ncRNA